AUGUUAUAAAACUGGCUUUUUCUGUAUUGGUCCUGUUGUAGUUUGUGGAUAGCUGUAUAAUUUUGGAUCCGAGACUCGAAGACUGUUCUUGAAUGAAGUUGCCUUAGUUGGUUAAUAAAAGUAUUAAUAUAUGGACUUUUUCAUAUUGGCCCUGUAACAUGCCCUUGAUAUUAAAAACGGCCUCGGACAGUUGUAAUGGCCCUCGGCGUUGCCUCAGGGCCAUUACAACCAUCCUUGGCCAUUAUUAAUACCUCGGGCAUGUUACAGGGCCAAUAUGAAAAAGU
rnacentral:lncRNA from 1 species